UAAUACCGUCGGGGGAGCCCUAAAGGGCUGAGAGGGUUAAAACACCGACCCCAGAACCUGAACUGGUUAGUGCCAGCGAAGGGAGAACGGUUGCCGUAGGCU
rnacentral:ncRNA from 1 species